GGGAAGGCAGGGGCGCUAGAUGUACCCACUCACCUCAGUACGUGGGAGGCAGCCGUGGGAGGUGGUGUGUCUGUGAUUGUGAGGUGGAGGUGUUGCCUGCUGCCCAAAGUUUGUUGAAAAUGCAUCCUCUCCACACACUGCCUGGUGGUGGUGGUGAUAAUGGGAGCAGGAAGGAGGCGGUGACAAGUUUGAGGGUGCAAGAGAACUUCUAAAACCAAACCGUGAAAGACAUGCAGCCCUGAAAUGAGAACUUCAGGAGUCCACCACAGAAAAACUGACAGGGAAGUGUCACCACCACCUGUCAUGGCUGCAGCUACAGAUUGACUAAAAUGGCCUGCCUCAAGACACCCCAGCUCACUACUCAAAACAAGGAUAAAAGUUUGCCUGCAUCAAGACACCCCAGCUCACUACUCAAAACAAGGAUAAAAGUUUCUCAUAGGAAAAUAUGGACUGAUACAACAGUUUCCAGAGUACAUCAGUUGGGCUGGCAUAUUUGAGG